rnacentral:rRNA from 1 species
GAUUUCUGGCUUGACGCGCUCGGCCGGCCACGGUUUCGUGUGUUUUGUGCUGGGUGCUCUGGCCAUCCUUCCAGAUUUGCUGCCCGCCUUUUCUUCAUUGAUUGGGCGCGGUGGUGCUGGAUCUUUUACUUUGAAAAAAUUAGAGUGUUUAAAGCAGGCUUUUGCUAUGAAUACAUUAGCAUGGAAUAAUAAUCUAGGACUUCGGUUCUAUUUUGUUGGUUUCUAUAACUGAAGUAAUGAUUGAUAGGGAUAGUUGGGGGUGCUAGUAUUGGCCGGCCAGAGGUGAAAUUCUUGGAUUCGGUCAAGACUAACUUAUGCGAAAGCAUU